rnacentral:lncRNA from 1 species
UUUGAGCCCACAGGUCCACAAAAAUCUGGUUAUAAAUUCAGAGUUUUAGUGAAACAAAGGGCCAUUCUAUUCCUAUUACCAUAUCUGGGAAAAAGAUAGUGAGAGAAGAACCCUGGGGAAAAGAUAGUGAGAGAAGAGCUAACAGAGUUCAGAGCAACCUCCAGGAAACUCUGAAAGGUUCAUUCUGACUCACACACUUUCAACUCAAGCAAAC